GCUAUACAUGCACCUCGAGCGGACAGAUGGGAGCUUGCUUCCUGAUGUUAGCGGCGGCCGGGUGAGUAACACGUGGGUAACCUGCCUGUAAGACUGGGAUAACUCCGGGAAACCGGGGCUAAUACCGGAUGGUUGUCUGAACCGCAUGGUUCAGACAUAAAAGGUGGCUUCGGCUACCACUUACAGAUGGACCCGCGGCGCAUUAGCUAGUUGGUGAGGUAACGGCUCACCAAGGCGACGAUGCGUAGCCGACCUGAGAGGGUGAUCGGCCACACUGGGACUGAGACACGGCCCAGACUCCUACGGGAGG
rnacentral:rRNA from 1 species